rnacentral:lncRNA from 1 species
UUUUCUUUGUUUUUUCAUUCUUAAUUCCCUCCUUCCACUUCUGAAUCUUGUUUUUGUUUUGUUUUUGUUUUGGUUGUUGUUGGUGUGGGGUUAUGACAUGAAUGGUGGUGGAGUGUGAGGUUUGCAGGAGAUAUGAAUAGUGGUUGAGAUUAAGGUGAUAUGAGGUUUAUGCACGAAUGUGAUGGUGUGGAGAGUGGAGGUAGUCAUUGAUUGUUUUGUGAUGAUGAUGAAGGUUAAGGGAGAGGUGAAUGAUGAUGGAUAAAAAUGAUGUUUUAAGGUGGUGAUGAGGGG